GACGAACGCUGGCGGCGUGCCUAAUACAUGCAAGUCGAGCGGAGUUAUUCCUUCGGGGAUAGCUUAGCGGCGGACGGGUGAGUAACACGUAGGCAACCUGCCUGUAAGACCGGGAUAACAUUCGGAAACGAAUGCUAAUACCGGAUAUGCAAUUUAGCUGCAUGGCUGAAUUGGGAAAGACGGUGCAAGCUGUCACUUACAGAUGGGCCUGCGGUGCAUUAGCUAGUUGGUGAGGUAACGGCUCACCAAGGCGACGAUGCAUAGCCGACCUGAGAGGGUGAUCGGCCACACUGGGACUGAGACACGGCCCAGACUCCUACGGGAGGCAGCAGUAGGGAAUCUUCCGCAAUGGACGAAAGUCUGACGGAGCAACGCCGCGUGAGUGAUGAAGGUUUUCGGAUCGUAAAGCUCUGUUGCCAGGGAAGAACAGCCAGGCGAGUAACUGCGCUUAGAAUGACGGUACCUGAGAAGAAAGCCCCGGCUAACUACGUGCCAGCCGCCGCCGUAAAAC
rnacentral:rRNA from 1 species